rnacentral:lncRNA from 1 species
CAACUACUGAACAAAACAAAAUGAAAGCAGAAAAGAUAAAGGUGUAAGAAUGCAAAUCUGAUUUGGUUAGCGAUUCCAAAGUCUCCCUUCGUUGAAUGUUUGGGUUGCCUCCCAAGAAGCGCUUGAUUUAACGUCUUUAGCCGGACGAAUCUUUCCUUUAAACUCCACUCAGCUCCAAAGCAUGGAAUUUAUCUUUUAAUGGGAGGUGAUACUUGAAAUGAUUCGGCAAUGGUUUAA